rnacentral:rRNA from 1 species
AGAUUGAACGCUGGCGGCAUGCCUUACACAUGCAAGUCGAACGGCAGCACGGGUGCUUGCACCUGGUGGCGAGUGGCGAACGGGUGAGUAAUAUAUCGGAACGUACCCUAGAGUGGGGGAUAACGCAGCGAAAGUUGCGCUAAUACCGCAUACGAUCUACGGAUGAAAGUGGGGAUCGCAAGACCUCAUGCUCAUGGAGCGGCCGAUAUCUGAUUAGCUAGUUGGUGGGUAAAAGCCUACCAAGGCAUCGAUCAGUAGCUGGUCUGAGAGGACGACCAGCCACACUGGAACUGAGACACGGUCCAGACUCUACGGGAGCAGCAGUGGGGAAUUUGGACAAUGGGCGCAAGCC